ensembl:lncRNA
GUUAUCGAGUACACAGCAGGAAGUUUUGAGAGAGAGAAAAUGGACCAUCCUUUCAAAACGUGCUGCUAUUGAAUACAGAUCGCCCCGUGAUCAAUUUGAUCGAUUAUUAACGUUUACUAAUACCUAAAGUUGGAUUACAAAAGUAGUUUGAAGUGUUUUGUCAAAGUUUAUAGGCAACUUUUUUUAUUUAAAAAAAUGACGUUGCGUUUUGGAACGGUGCUUUUUCAUGGAUCAGACAGGCUUCAUAAAUGGACAUUUUGGGUAUACAUGGACGGAUUUAAUCGAAAAAAAGACCCAAUUGUGAUGUUUAUGGGACAUAUAGGAGUGCCAACAAAGAAGCUCGUCAAAGAGCAUACAACCAUUCCGACAACCAUCCAUGAAGAUCAGUGGACAAAGGGCUGGACAAUGGGCCACACCGAAAAAACUCAUGGUUGCCAAGUAAGCGAAUUCUGCGACACCAUGCAAGCUGUGCUGC